GUAUCAUGGCUCAGGAUGAACGCUAGCUACAGGCUUAACACAUGCAAGUCGAGGGGAAACGAUAUUGGAAGCUUGCUUCCGAUAGGCGUCGACCGGCGCACGGGUGAGUAACGCGUAUCCAACCUGCCCACCACGUUGGGGAUAACCUUGCGAAAGUAAGACUAAUACCCAAUGAUAUCUCUAGAAGACAUCUGAAAGAGAUUAAAGAUUCAUCGGUGAUGGAUGGGGAUGCGU
rnacentral:rRNA from 1 species